UUUGAUGGCGACCGGCGCACGGGUGAGUAACACGUAUCCAACCUGCCGAUGACUCGGGGAUAGCCUUUCGAAAGAAAGAUUAAUACCCGAUGGCAUAGUUCUUCCGCAUGGUAGAACUAUUAAAGAAUUCGGUCAUCGAUGGGGAUGCGUUCCAUUAGGUUGUUGGCGGGGUAACGGCCCACCAAGCCUUCGAUGGAUAGGGGUUCUGAGAGGAAGGUCCCCCACAUUGGAACUGAGACACGGUCCAAACUCCUACGGGAGGCAGCAUG
rnacentral:rRNA from 1 species